GGAUCUACCAGCGGCUGUGGGACGGUAGUGUGGGUCGUUUUCCACGCUUCUUUUGUGUACAGCACAGGUGAAAGACUGUAGUAGGUUCCUUUGUGUGGUGUGCUGACCCCUGUGAAUUCCCACAUGCGGGAAUCUCAACUGCAUAAUUUGUGGUAGUGGGGGACUGCGUCGCGCUCUCCCCUC
rnacentral:snRNA from 1 species